CUCCCUCCCUCCUCAUCCACAGAGAUGGCUCUGCCCUCCUCCACGGCCGACACGAUGGUGGAGAAGUUGUCGUCAGAGAGCACCAUCUCAGCGGCUGACUUGGCAACAGCCGUGCCGGACCCCAUGGCGAUGCCAAUCUCUGCUUUCUUCAGGGCUGGGGCAUCGUUGACGCCAUCGCCCGUCUGCACGAAGUCAUGAUUAAAGCGUUGCGAGGGCAGGGUCCGGGCAGGGAGGAGGAGGCUGGGGACUCACCAUGGCGGUGAUCUCACUGAAGGACUGCAGGUACUCAACGAUGCGGGACUUGUGCGCCGGCUCAACGCGGGCGAAGCAGCGAGCCUCGCGACACGCCUGCCGCUGUGCCUCUGGGGACAGCUCAUCGAACUCCCGGCCCGUGUAGGCC
rnacentral:lncRNA from 1 species